rnacentral:rRNA from 1 species
GGAGGUUACUGCUAUCGGUGUUCGCCUAACCCAUGCAAGUCAUAUGUUCUUCGUGAACAUGGCGUACUGCUCAGUAACACGUGAAUAACCUGCCCUUGGGACCGGCAUAACCCCGGGAAACUGGGGAUAAUUCCGGAUACCGCAUAUAUGCUGGAAUGCUUUAUGCGUGAAAUGGAUUCGUCUGCCCAAGGAUGGGUCUGCGGCCUAUCAGGUAGUAGGGGGUGUAAUGUACCUACUACCCUACAACGGGUACGGGUUGUGAAAGCAAAAGCCCGGAAAUGGAUUCUGAAACAUGAAUCCAGGCCCUACGGGGCGCAGCAGGCGCGAAAACUUUACAAUGCGGAAAACCGUGAUAAGGGGACACCGAGUGCCAGCAACAUUUGUUGGCUGUCCAGGUGUGUAAACUACACCUGUUAGCAAGGGCCGGGCAAAACCGGUGC